rnacentral:SRP_RNA from 1 species
GGAGGUUGGCGGCGGACAGGUCCACUCGCCAACCCGGUCAGAUCCGGAAGGAAGCAGCCGUAACGAAUUCGACCUGGGUCGUUUGUCCAGCCUCCCAC